GCCUGUGAGGCUUAGUGGUUUGAGUGCUGGACUAAGACUCUGGAAGGCCAGGGUUCGAAUCCCUCCUCCUCCA